AGAAUCAACGCUGGCGGCGUGCCUAACACAUGCAAGUCGAACGAGAAAGUGGAGCAAUCCAUGAGUAAAGUGGCGCACGGGUGAGUAACACGUGACUAACCUACCCUUGAGUGGGGAAUAACCUCGGGAAACCGGGGCUAAUACCGCAUAACAUCUUCGGGGCGGAAGAACUGAAGAUCAAAGCAGCAAUGCGCUGGAAGAGGGGGUCGCGGCUGAUUAGCUAGUUGGCGGGUAAUGGCCCACCAAGGCGAAGAUCGGUA
rnacentral:rRNA from 1 species